AGCGAACUCUGGCGGCAGGCCUAACACAUGCAAGUCGAACGAACCCUUCGGGGUUAGUGUCGGACGGGUGCGUAACACGUGUCAACGUGCCCUUUGGGUCGGAACCACUCAGGGAAACUCGAGCUAAUACCGAAUGUGCCCUUCGGGGGAACGAUUUAUGGCAAUCGGAGAGGCCCGAGUCUGAUUAGCUUGUUAGUUAGGUAAAUGCUCACCAAGGCUACGAUCAGUAGAUGGUCUGAGAGGAUGAUCAGCCACAUUGGGACUGAGACACGGCCCAAACUCCUACGGGAGGCAGCAGUGGGGAAUCUUGCGCAAUGGGCGAAAGCCUGACGCAGCCAUGCCGCGUGAAUGAUGAAGGUCUUAGGAUUGUAAAAUUCUUUCACCGGGGACGAUAAUGACGGUACCCGGAGAAGAAGCCCCGGCUAACUUCGUGCCAGCAGCCGCCGCAGUAA
rnacentral:rRNA from 1 species